rnacentral:rRNA from 1 species
AUUGAACGCUGGCGUCAGGCCUAACACAUGCAAGUCGAGCGAGCGGCGGACGGGUGAGUAAUGUAUGGGGACUGCCCGAUAGAGGGGGAGAACUACUGGAAACGGUAGCUAAUACCGCAUACUAUCGGAUAACCCAUAUGGGAUUAGCUAGUAGGUGAGGUAAUGGCUCACCUAGGCGACGAUCCCUAGCUGGUCUGAGAGGAUGAUCAGCCACACUGGGACUAAGAGACUGCCCAGACUCCACCGGAGGCAGCAGUGGGGAAUAUUGCACAAUGGGCGAAAGCCUGAUGCGGCCAUGCCGCGUGUAUGAAGAAGGCCCUAGGGUUGUAAAGUACUUUCAGUCGGGAGGCGUUACCGACAGAAGAAGCGCCGGCUAAGUCCGUGCCAGCAGCCGCAGUAAUAC